UGGGGGAUAUUGCACAAUGGGGGCAACCCUGAUGCAGCGACGCCGCGUGAGCGAUGGAGUACUCCGGUAUGUAAAGCUCUGUCAGCAGGGAAGAGAAUGACGGUACCUGACCAAGAAGCCCCGGCUAAAUACGUGCCAGCAGCCGCGGUAAUACGUAUGGGGCAAGCGUUAUCCGGAUUUACUGGGUGUAAAGGGAGCGUAGGCGGCAGGGCAAGCCUGAUGUGAAAGCCCGGGGCUCAACCCCGGGACUGCAUUGGGAACUGCCCCGCUCGAGUGCCGGAGGGGCAGGCGGAAUUCCUAGUGUAGCGGUGAAAUGCGUAGAUAUUAGGAGGAACACCAGUGGCGAAGGCGGCCUGCUGGACGGUGACUGACGCUGAGGCUCGAAAGCGUGGGGAGCAAACAGG
rnacentral:rRNA from 1 species